UUACGGUGAUGACCAUCUUAGGACACCUUUGGAUUAUACAUGAAAAUGAUGUAAAAGUUCUGAGUGAC